rnacentral:rRNA from 1 species
UACAGAGGGUGCAAGCGUUGUUCGGAAUUAUUGGGCGUAAAGGGCGCGUAGGCGGUGCGGUAAGUCUGUAGUGAAAUCUAUGGGCUCAACUCAUAGUCUGCAUGAGAAACUGCCGGGCUUGAGUAUGGGAGAGGUGAGUGGAAUUCCUGGUGUAGCGGUGAAAUGCGUAGAUAUCAGGAGGAACACCUGUGGCGAAAGCGGCUCACUGGACCAUAACUGACGCUGAUGCACGAAAGCUAGGGGAGCAAACAGG